rnacentral:rRNA from 1 species
AACGACUAGACGGCCGAAGGCGUUAAUAACAUGCAAGUCGAGGGGCAUCAAGGUUACACGAAAAGUGUAGUUGUUGGGCGACCGGGCGGACGGGUGAGUAAUAGGUAGGUAACCGUACCUCAUACUGAGGCAUAGCUGGGAGAAAUUCCAGGUAAUUCCUCAUGAGGUUAUAUGACACAUGUGAUAUAAUCAAAGGUAUCGCAAGGUACUGGUAUGAGAUGGGCUUACUGACCAUUAGCUAGUUGGUGGGGUAAAAGCUCACCAAGGCGACGAUCUGUAGCUGGUCUGAGAGGACGACCAGCCACACUGGAACUGAGACACGGUCCAGACUCCUACGGGAGGCAGCAGUGGGGAAUUUUGGACAAUGGGCGCAAGCCUGAUCCAGCAAUGCCGCGUGCAGGAUGAAGGCCUUCGGGUUGUAAACUGCUUUUGUACGGAACGAAACGGUGAGCUCUAAUAAAGCUUGCUAAUGACGGUACCGUAAGAAUAAGCACCGGCUAACUACGUG